GAGAUAACAUAUCGGUUUAAAGUACCAAUUUUGUGGAGAAUCCAUACAAAACCGCCAAUAUUUUACAGUUAUUUUGCAAAAUUCUUAUUAAAUAUAUCUACAGUGAGCAAAAAUCUUCGGAUGAGCAAGUAAAGUGUGUUAAUAUUAAGAAUCUAAUAACUUUGAAGUCGAAAAAGUAAAUAUUCUCAAUGUGGAAUCAAGCCAAGCUUAAUUACGAAAAUAUUAAAUAUUUAACAACUUUUGUUAAAUAUAUUAAAAUAUGAAGUGUACUUGAGUGAUAUGUGGUAAACAAUAAAAUGUGAUCGUACAACAUCAAAUUCUGCAACAACAACUAAUUACACAAAAAAAUAAAAACUGCCAGAUCGGAAAUAGGAUUAAGAUAAAAUAAAAAUUAUGACAAUGACAGCAUCACAACGACACUGUUCAGAAAUUAAACAAUGGCUGUUGCUAUCUGGAAAAACGUCAAGUGUCAAAAAAAAAGAAGAAAUGGUUAAGGUUAUACCCGAGUUUUUGUAACAGAGUUAGCAGCCUAGAUUUGACAGCCUCACAGAUUCUAUCAGUGAGUUAAACUAAAGAAGAUUUCUUAUUAAAGAAAAUGGACGGCUUUGAUUUUGAUAUUAAAAUUAUAGCCAUUAUAAUUUGUAUUAUAGUUGUUGCCCUUAUUGUGUGCUACCAUGUCAUUAGAAAUAAUAGUAGUCAUUAGAAGAAAAGAAAGAUCAAUACGACGUAUAUAACUUACUGAAUAUGCAUUUUCCACAUAAUAUACGAUGUUUAUCACUACCUCAAGUUCACCAAGACUAUGCAAGUAUAGAAAAUCAAGUUCACCAAGACUAUGCAAGUGUAGAAACUUCUAUGUAAUGGAGGACUAAUCAAAAUCCAAAUUGGCUCUCUAGACCUAGACAAUAGCAUUUCAGUAAUUAUGGAAGAAUAACAUAUUAUUUGAAUUGGACAUGUACCUGUCCGGUGGAAAUUGGCGAGAAAUGAGUAUUUUUUAUAUAUUUAUUUUUAUUUAUUACUUAUGAUUGUUUACCUAUUAAUUUAUUUACCUACUAAUAAUAAGUUUAAUUAUAUUUUUAAACAAGAAGAUUUUUAAAUUAUGAAAAUGUUAUACGCGAUGUUAAUACAUAUUUAAAAUACGUAAUUUUAGUCAGACUAAAUAACAGUUUAAUGUAAAGAACCUAUUGUAUUAAUUGAAAAAGGAACUAUUGUCAAAGCUCAUGUGAUUAAUUAAAGAAAUUUUCUUAAUUAUUAAAAAUCAAUAAUCCUUAUAUCCGAAAAUUUUCUUCAGUGUUUGAUAGUGAGUAGUUAUUAUAUAAUAAUAAUUGAAGUAAUAUUUAUAGGGAAAUUUUCAUAUGCCAAUAAAAUUUGCCCUAGAUUUUAAACUCUAUUUUACUCUAUCGUAUGAGUCUGUUAGUUCAAUAAAUAAGAGAUAGACCUCUUGGUGUUCCUUAAUACUUUUUUUCAGUUAAAUUUUAUUAAAAAUUUGUCCAACUCGUGCUUGUUGCUCUAUUUCACACGGCUCAUAAGCUUCUUGGAUUUAAUUUAAUUUAAGAUUUUUCCCUAUAGCCUACUAAAGGUGCGGGUUACUGAAAUGCACCUAUUCACUUGUCCUUUGCGUAUUUUUUUGGGAAUGCAGCUAAUUCAUGCUUCUUUCCAGUUCUUUCAUUUCUGCUUUCACACUUUUAUUCUCCUUGAAUUUACAUGUGGAAUAAUAUACGUAUAGGGGAGUGCAAUUAGAACGAAAAUAUUCAUUGUUUCGGAAAAAUUCAAACAAGCUUAUAUUUUUCCAAAACUUUUUUUGUUAGUUUAUAUGCAUAUUAAAGUAAAAAGUUCUACUCGCAGAUUUGGCCGCUAACUGUUUAUUAAUUGUUUAAACAAUAACAAUUGUUUUGUUUAAAUAAUUUUAAAAAUAUCGUUAAAUUCAUCAUUUUACUUUGAUCAAAUAUGUUUGUAUUUUGUUUUUGAUUAUGCUGAAUCCGAAUAUGGCAUUGCAAUUUGAAAAUUCUUAUACAGAAGCUCUUGUACACUCUGUCUGCGUAGGCGUAGCUAGGAACCACAUGGAAAACUUUUUUAUUAUCAAUUUUACGAAAAAAUGGUAUUCUUCAUAAAAUGCUCUGGAUAGUCAAGACUCUAAUUUUCAAUCAUCAGAUAUAAAAAUUUUACCAAUUUUAUACGAGUUAUGUCAAAAAAAUGAAUUUCGUUAGAGAGUAGAGUACCUUUAUAUUCCAGAAUAUCAAAAAAUGAUAUUAUGAAAAGUUGUUUGAAAUUAAAAACUAUGUUUAAAUAAACAAUUACAUCAUUUUAAUCGAAAAAAAAAUUCAAUUUUUUCUCAAAUUACGGAUACUCAUCCUCAUUUUAUUACAAUAUUAUGAUAACUAUUUUAUUAUCACUUUUACGAAAAUAAGUUAUUCUUCAUAAAAUGCUCUCCCUGGUCUAAAAUCUAAGAUACAACCAUCAGAUAUCAAACUUUUUUAAUUUUAUACGAGGUAUGUAAAAAAUAUGAAUUUUUCUUAAGAGUUAAGUGCCUUUAUUAUUCACAAUAUUUUAAUUAGAAGGAUGUAAUUAAACGCUAAAACAAUUUUUUUAAUUC